ACGCUGGCGGCAGGCCUAACACAUGCAAGUCGAGCGGAAACGACACUAACAAUCCUUCGGAUGCGUUAAUGGGCGUCGAGCGGCGGACGGGUGAGUAAUGCCUAGGAAAUUGCCUUGAUGUGGGGGAUAACCAUUGGAAACGAUGGCUAAUACCGCAUAAUGCCUACGGGCCAAAGAGGGGGAUCUUCGGACCUCUCGCGUCAAGAUAUGCCUAGGUGGGAUUAGCUAGUUGGUGAGGUAAUGGCUCACCAAGGCGACGAUCCCUAGCUGGUCUGAGAGGAUGAUCAGCCACACUGGAACUGAGACACGGUCCAGACUCCUACGGGAGGCAGCAGUGGGGAAUAUUGCACAAUGGGCGAAAGCCUGAUGCAGCCAUGCCGCGUGUAUGAAGAAGGCCUUCGGGUUGUAAAGUACUUUCAGUUGUGAGGAAGGGGGUAACGUUAAUAGCGUUAUCUCUUGACGUUAGCAACAGAAGAAGCACCGGCUAACUCCGUGCCAGCAGCCGCGGUAAUACGGAGGGUGCGAGCGUUAAUCGGAAUUACUGGGCGUAAAGCGCAUGCAGGUGGUUCAUUAAGUCAGAUGUGAAAGCCCGGGGCUCAACCUCGGAACUGCAUUUGAAACUGGUGAACUAGAGUGCUGUAGAGGGGGGUAGAAUUUCAGGUGUAGCGGUGAAAUGCGUAGAGAUCUGAAGGAAUACCAGUGGCGAAGGCGGCCCCCUGGACA
rnacentral:rRNA from 4 species